UGGGGAAUAUUGCACAAUGGGGGAAACCCUGAUGCAGCGACGCCGCGUGGAGGAAGAAGGUCUUCGGAUUGUAAACUCCUGUUGUUGGGGAAGAUAAUGACGGUACCCAACAAGGAAGUGACGGCUAACUACGUGCCAGCAGCCGCGGUAAAACGUAGGUCACAAGCGUUGUCCGGAAUUACUGGGUGUAAAGGGAGCGCAGGCGGGAAGACAAGUUGGAAGUGAAAUCCAUGGGCUCAACCCAUGAACUGCUUUCAAAACUGUUUUUCUUGAGUAGUGCAGAGGUAGGCGGAAUUCCCGGUGUAGCGGUGGAAUGCGUAGAUAUCGGGAGGAACACCAGUGGCGAAGGCGGCCUACUGGGCACCAACUGACGCUGAGGCUCGAAAGUGUGGGUAGCAAACAGGAUUAGAUACCCUGGUAGUCCACACCGUAAACGAUGAUUACUAGGUGUUGGAGGAUUGACCCCUUCAGUGCCGCAGUUAACACAAUAAGUAAUCCACCUGGGGAGUACGACCGCAAGGUUGAAACUCAAAGGAAUUGACGGGGGCCCGCACAAGCAGUGGAGUAUGUGGUUUAAUUCGACGCAACGCGAAGAACCUUACCAAGUCUUGACAUCCCUUGACAGGCAUAGAAAUAUGUUUUCUCUUCGGAGCAAGGAGACAGGUGGUGCAUGGUUGUCGUCAGCUCGUGUCGUGAGAUGUUGGGUUAAGUCCCGCAACGAGCGCAACCCUUAUGGUCAGUUACUACGCAAGAGGACUCUGGCCAGACUGCCGUUGACAAAACGGAGGAAGGUGGGGAUGACGUCAAAUCAUCAUGCCCUUUAUGACUUGGGCUACACACGUACUACAAUGGCGUUAAACAAAGAGAAGCAAGACCGCGAGGUGGAGCAAAACUCAGAAACAACGUCCCAGUUCGGACUGCAGGCUGCAACUCGCCUGCACGAAGUCGGAAUUGCUAGUAAUCGUGGAUCAGCAUGCCACGGUGAAUACGUUCCC
rnacentral:rRNA from 1 species